UUUAUCAUGUUUCAUGCAUCAUGAUUAUGCAAUAGGAUGAUUGCAUUAGUAUUCACGAAUAUGCCGCAUUGCAUCGAUUGUUGUUGAUGUGGGUGAAUGUUGGAUGACCCAAUUAGUCCAUGACAGGAAGACCAGGCCCCAUGCUACAGGCCUGGCACAGAGUAAGAAAGACCAGGCCCCAUUCUACAGGCCUGGCACAGAGUAAGAAAGACCAGGCCCCAUUCUACAGGCCUGGCACAUAGUAAGGAAAGACCAGGAUCCCAUCCUAUGAUCUAGCACGGUUACGGGACUCGAAGACCAGGAGCUCAGAGGAGGCCCUGGGGAAAUGGUAAGUAAAGUAUGUUCUAACAGGAAAGACCAGGACCCCAUUCUACAGGCCUGGCACAGAGUUAACUUGGACUAAUUGGUGACAAGUUCACCCAACCCUUAUGUGAAUUGUCUGUGUUAUGAUGCAUUUCAUUAAAGCAUAGUGUUAAUAUGUUUUAUAGU
rnacentral:lncRNA from 1 species